rnacentral:rRNA from 1 species
CACGUAGGGCGCAAGCGUUGUCCGGAAUUAUUGGGCGUAAAGAGCUCGUAGGUGGUUUGUUACGUCUGCUGUGAAAACCUAGGGCUUAACCCUGGGCUUGCAGUGGAUACGGGCAGACUAGAGGUAGGUAGGGGAGAAUGGAAUUCCUGGUGUAGCGGUGAAAUUCGUAGAUAUUGGGAAGAACACCGGUGGCGAAGGCGGCGACCUGGUCCGAUACUGACGCUGAGGCGCGAAAGCGUGGGGAGCAAACAGG